AUACGGAGGAUGCAAGCGUUAUCCGGAUUUAUUGGGUUUAAAGGGUGCGUAGGCGGGAUUUUAAGCGUGAGGUGAAAUGCCACGGCUCAACCGUGGAACUGCCUCGCGAACUGGGAUUCUUGAAUGCCCCUGCCGUGGGAGGAAUGUGUGGUGUAGCGGUGAAAUGCAUAGAGAUCACACAGAACACCGAUUGCGAAGGCAUCUCACGAAGGGGUGAUUGACGCUGAGGCACGAAAGCGUGGGGAUCAAACAGGAUUAGAUACCCUGGUAGUCCACGCAGUAAACGAUGAUAACUAACCGCUGGUAAGUAAUUAUCAGUGGCCAAGCGAAAGCGAUAAGUUAUCCACCUGGGGAGUACGACCGCAAGACUGAAACUCAAAUGAAUUGACGGGG
rnacentral:rRNA from 1 species